rnacentral:rRNA from 1 species
CUAAGUGGGCUUGAUUGUGCGGAAAAACUCCAUAGUUAAGCGCACUUGAGCCAGAGGCGUCUUGGGAUGGGUGACCACCUGGGAAGUCUUGGUUACCGGGU